CCUACGGGUGGCAGCAGUCGAGAAUCAUUCACAAUGGGGGAAACCCUGAUGGUGCGACGCCGCGUGGGGGAAUGAAGGUCUUCGGAUUGUAAACCCCUGUCAUGUGGGAGCAAAUUAAAAAGAUAGUACCACAAGAGGAAGAGACGGCUAACUCGGUGCCAGCAGCCGCGGUAAUACAGAGGUCUCAAGCGUUGUUCGGAAUCACUGGGCGUAAGGCGUGCGUAGGCUGUUUCGUAAGUCGUGUGUGAAAGGCGCGGGCUCAACCCGCGGACGGCACAUGAUACUGCGAGACUAGAGUAAUGGAGGGGGAACCGGAAUUCUCGGUGUAGCAGUGAAAUGCGUAGAUAUCGAGAGGAACACUCGUGGCGAAGGCGGGUUCCUGGACAUUAACUGACGCUGAGGCACGAAGGCCAGGGGAGCGAAAGGGAUUAGAUACCCCUGUAGUC
rnacentral:rRNA from 1 species